GGGAGGGAUCCCCCAGGAUUCCAGGGGGGAUUCCAGGGAGGAUUCCCAAAAAUCCUGGGAGGGAUUCCUGAAAAUUCCAGGAGGGAAUUCUGAAGAUUCCCAAGGACUCCAGCAGGGAUUCCAGCCAGGAUUGCUGGGAAUUCUGGAGAAUUCCAGGAGGGAUUCCAGGGGGAAUUCCUGAGGGUUCCAGCAGGGAUUCCUGGGGAUUCCAGGAGGGAUUCCCAAGGAUUCCAGCAGGGAAUUCUGAGGAUUCCUGAGGACUCCAGGGGAAAUUCCAGGGGAAAUUCCAGGCAGCAUUCCCAGGGAUUCUGGCAGAGAUUCCUGAGGAUUCCAGCCAGGAUUCCAAGAGGGAUUUCUGAGGAAUCCUGGGGGUUCCUGCUGAUAUUCCCAGGGAUUCCUGCCACCAUUCCUGGUGUUCUGGGUGCUCAGGGCUCAGCAUUCCCAGGAAUUCCAGCCCUCAAUCCCAGGGAUUCCAUGUUGAUUCCCACCCUCAAUCCCAGGGAUUCCAGGGGGAUUCCAGCUCUCAUUCCUGGGAAUUCCAGGGGGAUUCCUGCCAUCAUUCCCAGUGAUCUGGGAGGGAUUCCAAGUGGAUUCCCACCCUGAAUCCCAGGGAUUCCAGGGGAAUUCCUGCCAUCAUUCCCAGUGUUCCAGGCACACUCAGGGCUCAGCAUUCCCAGGGAUUCCUGCCACCAUUCCUGGUUUUCUGGGAGGGAUCCCACCCUCCCUCCCAGGAAUUCGAGGUGGAUCCCAGGUGGAUCCUGCCCUCACUCUCAGGAAUUCCAGGUGGAUCCCAGGUGGAUCCUACCCUCAUUCCCAGAAAUCCCAGAUGGAUCCCAGGUGGAUCCCCCUCUUUCCCCCACUGUUCUGGGUGCUCAGGGCUCGGCAUUCCCAGAAAUCCCAGAUGGAUCCCAGGUGGAUCCCCCCCUUUCCCCCACUGUUCUGGGUGCUCAGGACUUGGCAUUCCCAGGAAUUCCAGGUGGAUCCCAGCCCUCAUUCCCAGGAAUUCCAGGUGGAUCCCAGGUGAAUCCCAGCUGGAUCCCAGGUGGAUUCCCACCCUCAUUCCCAGAUGGAUCCCAGGUGGAUUCUGCCCUCACUCCCAGGAAUUCCAGAUGGAUCCCAGCUGGAUCCCAGGUGCUCAGGGCUCAGCAUUCCCCGGCGCCGCCUCGGGGGCUCCAUCCUGGCCGUGGAG